rnacentral:tRNA from 1 species
GCUGGUGUAGCUCAAUUGGCAGAGCAGCUGAUUUGUAAUCAGCAGGUUGCGGGUUCGAGGGUUGGGAGUG